rnacentral:lncRNA from 1 species
AUUUUCAAAGAAUUAAAAGGUUUUCGUAUGGAAAACCGUUUUUAAAAAAUUUUCUGGCUUUUGAGACUUCUAGUAUUUUAAAAUAAAGUUUUUGGGUGGCAAUGCUUUCAACUGAUAGAUACAGAAUAUUUACGGGUUAUGUAAUGUAUAGUUGUGAUUGUAAUUUAUGAGUCGACGUGGUUUAUGAUUUAUAAUAUGUAUGACGCCGUGCAAGUACAGGAAAAACUCUGUCAGUGUGAACAGAGAAUUCUCUGUAUUUAUGGCAGGUUUGUCAUCCCUUUGUUCAAGAUUUCAAAAAGAAAAAUGCCCAUAUUUCAAUCGGCUUUGCAUGAAGAGACUCCGGGGGGUGACAAAAUGAGUGAACGGUAUCGAAAAAUAAUAAGUAGAGAAGCACUACUUCUCUUCUUGAGAUAAAAGUACAAUAAGAAUGUUUUUGUAUUAAUAAUAAUGGGAUGAAUGAACCCAAGGGGACAAUCCGAUUGGUUGGGGACGACACGUCAGCAAUAUAACUGAUACAUUCUAGACUGGCUGGUAUUUUUGAAUAUGUAUGAAUAUGUAUUUUAAACAAAUUAAAUAUGUUGAAUUUGUUUUUAUCAACAUUAAAUUUGUUAAAACAGUUAUAAAAAAUUCCACUUAUUUAAAUUUAAAUAUUAAAUAUUUAAAUUCAACAUCUUAAGAAAUAUUACUAUUUUUAAAAUUUUUAAAGUUUAA